GGGCACGUGGCGGAGAGGCUGAUCGCUCCGGCUUGCUAAGCCGGCGGACGUGGCAACACGUCCCGCAGGUUCGAAUCCUGCCGUGCCCG
rnacentral:tRNA from 1 species